GUUGAGUUGAGAUAUGAUGUUCAAUUUGUUGUCCAUUCUAUAAUUCAUUGACGCAUCAUUUUAAAUUAACAUAUCCAACUUUUCUCUCACUGUUACUUAUGCUUAACAAUAAAUAUAAAAUGAUGUGUCAAUGAAUCGUAGAAUGGACAGCAAGUUGAACCGCCAAUUUUGGACAGCAGAUCUCAACUCAUC
rnacentral:miRNA from 1 species